rnacentral:rRNA from 1 species
UGGGGGAUAUUGCGCAAUGGGGGAAACCCUGACGCAGCAACGCCGCGUGAAGGAUGAAGGUCUUUGGAUCGUAAACUUUUUUGAUAGGGGAAGAAUAAAUGACGGUACCCUAAAAACAAGCCACGGCUAACUACGUGCCAGCAGCCGCGGUAAUACGUAGGUGGCAAGCGUUGUCCGGAUUUACUGGGUGUAAAGGGCGUGUAGGCGGGACUGUAGGUCAGAUGUGAAAGCCCAAGGCUUAACCUUGGAACUGCAUUUGAAACCAUAGUUCUUGAGUGUCGGAGAGGGAAGCGGAAUUCCUAGUGUAGCGGUGAAAUGCGUAGAUAUUAGGAGGAACACCAGUGGCGAAGGCGGCUUUCUGGACGAUAACUGACGCUGAGGCGCGAAAGCGUGGGGAGCAAACA